ACCGGGCCACUGCAUCUAAGGACCACUGCACAGAAGCAUGCUAAUUCUACAGAAAUCAUCAAAUGCCCCGUGUACAUUGUAUGUCAACAGAAGCGUGCUAAAUCUACAGAAAUCAUCAUAUGGCACGUGUAAAUCAACAGAAGAGUGCUAAAUCUACAGAAAUCAUCAAAUGUCACGUGUAAAUCAACAGAAGCGUGCUAAAUCUGCAGAAAUCACCAAAUGUCACGUGUAAAUCAACAGAAGCGUGAUAAAUCUGCAGAAAUCAUUAAAUGUCACGUGUAAAUCAACAGAUGCGUGCUAAAUAUGCAGAAAUCAUCAAAUGUCACGUGUAAAUCAACAGAUGCGUGCUAAAUCUACAGAAAUCAUCAAAUGUCACGUGUAAAUCAACAGAAGCGUGCUAAAUCUACAGAAAUCAUCAAAUGUCACGUGUAAAUUAACAGAAGCGUGCUAAAUCUACAGAAAUCAUCAAAUGUCCAGUGGACACGUGUGUAUAUUAGAUAACUCAACUCGGGAUUUAUCUUUUUGUUUGGUCACUCGGGUGCUGUGUGUGUCCUUACAUCAUCGUGCAUCGUUACAUUUUGCGAAUCUUUUACGUGUAACUUCGCCAAUGUUCACCAAAAUUGUUGGGCUAGGAAUCCAAGCAUUGUGAAUUUUGUAGUCCCUGUCCUUUUGGACCCAUGGGAUAGGGAUGCAAUUUCUAAAAUCGGUACAGUCUUUUGAAUAUUUACUCAUGGGCAUCUGGUUUGAAAACUGAGUGCAUGCUUAUGCUGAAUAUGAUGACUCUAUCGGAAUCCUCAAGGGCGGGUGUAUCAUAUAGUGAAAUUGCAUUAAAUGUUUAGAUAUG